rfam:Triticum aestivum genome assembly, contig: Triticum_aestivum_CS42_TGACv1_scaffold_406228_5BL
UAUAUACUCCCUCCGUCCAGAAUUACUUAUCACGUGAAUGAAUGUAUCUAGAUGUAUUUUAGUUCUAGAUACAUCCAUUUUACCCGUUUCUACGACAUGUAAUUUGGGACGGAGGGAGUACAAU